rnacentral:rRNA from 1 species
UCUCCCGCUUGCGGGGGUGAUUAGUGGCGAACGGGUGAGUAAUACGUGAGUAACCUGCCCUUGACUCUGGGAUAAGCCUGGGAAACCGGGUCUAAUACUGGAUACUACUCCUUAUCGCAUGGUGGGGGGUGGAAAGGGUUUUACUGGUUUUGGAUGGGCUCACGGCCUAUCAGCUUGUUGGUGGGGUAAUGGCUCACCAAGGCGACGACGGGUAGCCGGCCUGAGAGGGUGACCGGCCACACUGGGACUGAGACACGGCCCAGACUCCUACGGGAGGCAGCAGUGGGGAAUAUUGCACAAUGGGCGGAAGCCUGAUGCAGCGACGCCGCGUGAGGGAUGACGGCCUUCGGGUUGUAAACCUCUUUCAGCAGGGAAGAAGCCACAAGUGACGGUACCUGCAGAAGAAGCGCCGGCUAACUACGUGCCAGCAGCCGCGGUAAUACGUAGGGCGCAAGCGUUGUCCGGAAUUAUUGGGCGUAAAGAGCUCGUAGGCGGUCUGUCGCGUCUGCUGUGAAAGCCCGGGGCUCAACCCCGGGUCUGCAGUGGGUACGGGCAGACUAGAGUGCAGUAGGGGAGACUGGAAUUCCUGGUGUAGCGGUGAAAUGCGCAGAUAUCAGGAGGAACACCGAUGGCGAAGGCAGGUCUCUGGGCUGUUACUGACGCUGAGGAGCGAAAGCAUGGGGAGCGAACAGGAUUAGAUACCCUGGUAGUCCAUGCCGUAAACGUUGGGCACUAGGUGUGGGGGACAUUCCACGUUCUCCGCGCCGUAGCUAACGCAUUAAGUGCCCCGCCUGGGGAGUACGGCCGCAAGGCUAACACUCAGAGGAAUUGACGGGGGCCCGCACAAGCGGCGGAGCAUGCGGAUUAAUUCGAUGCAACGCGAAGAACCUUACCAAGGCUUGACAUUCACCGGACCGCACUGGAGACAGUGCUUCCCUUCGGGGUCGGUGGACAGGUGGUGCAUGGUUGUCGUCAGCUCGUGUCGUGAGAUGUUGGGUUAAGUCCCGCAACGAGCGCAACCCUCGUUCUAUGUUGCCAGCACGUGAUGGUGGGGACUCAUAGGAGACUGCCGGGGUCAACUCGGAAGAAAGUGGGGGAUGACGUCAAAUCAUCAUGCCCCUUAUGGCUU